GGAGUAGACCGCUCGUAGUAGAAGUUUGGAGUAGACCGCUUGUAGUAGAAGUUCAGAGUAGAGUCGUCUGUGGCCGGAAGAAGUCUGGAAGGGAUUUGGAGAAUAGUUGAUCACUGUAAAAAAUCGACUGAUAGCAGAGCUCAGAGGGUGUUUGAAGCAGUCCGAUAAAUGAAUGGAGAAGCUCAUUGUCAGAGAAGUAUGGAUGGUAUUAUGGAAGCUCGGACGGUCGAGGGGGUUCAGAAAGAUGCCACACAAGGUCGGAAGCUGAAAAAGCCCUGGAAGGGUCGGCCUUUUACAAACUUCGGUUGGGGGUAUUUUAUACCUAACAAGUCCUGACUGAAUUAGGGUUAAG
rnacentral:lncRNA from 1 species